AUUAGCUUUAACACAUGGUUAGGAAGAUAUAGACAGUGUUCUGGAAGAUAACCAGGUGUAUAAAAGAACUUCAGUUAUUAGGAAUAGACUUUCGAGUUAUUUCUGUCAUUCAAGUUAUCAGUUUUAAAACUUUGCGUAUGAGAAAUCUGAGAGUUGCUUCCAAUAAUAUUAGUAGUAACUUUUGUUUCAGUUUAACUAUUCAGAAUAAUUGGUUGUUCUUUGAUAUAUAUUAUUGCUUUUCCUAACUAUGUAUAAUGCUAAAUAAACGGGUUUUAAUGAUUCACUCUUUUUUAUUUAUUUGGUAGUUGUUAAUUCGAAAACUUGGACCAUUCUCUUUAACUUUCCAAAAGAACCUAUUAUCAGCAAAUCAAACAAGCUUGGGUAGUAUCUGUACCUUCAUAGAAUUUGGCAAUACUGAGCUUUUAAGUUAAGUAGGAAAGUGCUUAGCUUUAGCUUGAAGAUUUGCUUCUAUUAUAUCUCCCUAGGGAGGUUCUGGAUCGAGGUGGCUGUUUCUCAACAGUAAUCUUGAAUGAAUAGCAGUUUGCUUUCUGUUUCAUACACUUGAGCGAGCCAAGUAGGAGAAGGCACAUACAGUAACUUCAGCUUCAACACCAAUCAGUCCAGACUCAAUAGUCAAUACUGAACCCCCACCACCACUAGAAAAUAUUGGGAUGAUGAGAGAGAUCCACUUGCUAAUGAUGAUUUUAUGUGGAAUAAAGAUUUUAUGAAUCAAAUGAAAAGAUACAUUCAAGAAAAACCCUCUGGGUCUCUAAAUUAUGACGGAGUAAUGAGUUUAGACAGUAUGAUUUGAGCAAAGAACUUACAGCACCUCCUAAACAUGUUUUAGAAGUGCAAGUUGAAGCUGCAAGACGGCGACGGCUUUGAGCAAUUCAAGCGGCUGCAUCUGCAUGACCUAAAUGAGAGCAGCUCCGACUCGAAAAGAGCAACAAAAAUGGGAUAGGACAACAUGUUCUUUCGGAUAUUUAUCACUCUGCAGUACUUUCUGGAUAUGGUUAACAUCGAAGAUGAUAUACUUUCCAUACCUCUCUUGAGGGAGAAUUGGUAUUCAGCUAAUUCGGGUUUCCUAGAUUUUCAAUUGUGUAUAAAAUGGAAAUAAGUGUACCUCAUGUUAAAUCUGUUUUCAUGAGCUCGUUUUUAGCUGUAUAGUCUUUUUCCUGGUUGAAAAAAAUAGAAUAAAAUCAUUCACUUCUAAUAUAUUACCUAUAACUGAAGGAUGUUCUUAUUCGUGAAUUAAGCAUCCCCGGGUUGGUCCAAGAGUAUGGGCAGCUGAGUCACAGAAGGAAGAUCUGAAGAAUCAGUUACAGCUUCUGACUCUGGGAUUUGGAGUUGUUGGUGUUUUUACAUGCUAUGUUUCAUAUUCUGCAGAAUUUGCAGUUAGAGUUUAUUGGUUCUUUAGUAUAUGCACGCAUGCCUGGAAACAGUGUGGAAGGCUUGGCAGAUGGAGCUAGAGGGUCUAACAAGUAAGAUUUCUUUCUCCUUUAACCAGUCUACCACUCUCCGAUCAUUUAGCAUCUCUGAUUGCAUAAAAUCAGUAUAUUUUUCCAUACACUUGUGUUAUUGGGGAACUAAGUAUGUAUUUUUUUCUUUCUUUUAAUUCUUUUUUAAAAUUAGAUUCUAUCAUAUUAGUAAGACAGUGGCUGCACCUUGUGCUUCUGCGAAGAAACUUUUUUUUCUUCCAUAGCAAAUAUCUAUCAUCUAUCUGUGAGAUACUAGAUAAUGAGGAUCAGCAUGGUUAUUUUGCAGUAGUUGGUAUAAUUAGACACAUUAUCUAACUCGUGAUACAAGCAGAUACCAGGGUUGUCUCUUCCUAAAUUUAGACACUUUACAGCAUCAUACCUGAUAUGGGAAAGUGGAACGAUUUUCAAGUAUUCUGACGAAUGUUAAUUGGGCAACCAAGACUGUUGGUUCCUGUCACAGUCGUUAUGAUCUUUAACCAUUGGAAUGGGUUAGUACAUCGGUCGAAUGGGAUUCUUCUCGUGGCAGUUUCAGAUUAUGAUCACCCCUUUCUUUCUCAGGUCACAUUUUUCAUACCUUAAAAUGUCGUCUUUAUGCGCAGCGCAGGAUCCUUGCACCAGAAUUUGGACUUAUGAACUUGCAGCAUAUUACCGAUGCUUUUAGGGUUUUUCACCUAUAAAUCUGAAAAGAAGACAGAAUACUAAUUUACUUAAGUCACUGUCUAUGUAAAGUUGGCUUCUACGGUAUGUAAUUGAUAACUAUAUUUGUCGAAGAGUUACGUAACCCA